rnacentral:rRNA from 1 species
UGAGUAACACGUAGCUAACCUACCCUAAUGUCAAGGAUAAUCUCGGGAAACUGAGAAUAAUACUUGAUAGAGGAUACUGCCUGGAAGGGUUUAUCUUUCAAAACUUCGGUGCAUUAGGAUGGGGCUGCGGUGGAUUAGGCUGAUGUUGAGGUAACUACUCAACAUACCUAUAAUCUAUAGGGGUUGUGAGAGCAAUAGCCCCCAGAUGGGUUCUGAGACAUUAACCCAGGUCCUACGGGACGCAGCAGUUACGAAACCUUCACAAUGCGCGCAAGCGUGAUGAGGGAAUUUCAAGUGCUGGUGUUUUUGCAUCAGCUUUUCUAUAGUUUAAAUUGCUAUAGGAAUAAGUGGUGGGUAAGACCGUUGCCAGCCGCCGCGGUAAUAACGGCGCCACGAGUGGUAACCACGAAUAUUGGGU